rnacentral:rRNA from 1 species
CCUACGGGAGGCAGCAGUGGGGAAUAUUGCACAAUGGGGGAAACCCUGAUGCAGCGACGCCGCGUGAGUGAAGAAGUAUUUCGGUAUGUAAAGCUCUAUCAGCAGGGAAGAAAAAGACGGUACCUGACUAAGAAACCCCGGCUAACUACGGUCCAGCAGCCGCGGUAAUACGUAGGGGGCAAUCUGUAUCCGGAUUGACUGGGGGGAAAGGGAGCGGUGACGGCCAGACAAGUCAGAAGUGAAAGGCCAGGGCUCAACCCUGGGACUGCUUUUGAAACUGCCGGGCUGGAGUGCAGGAGAGGUAAGCGGAAUUCCUAGUGUAGCGGUGAAAUGCGUAGAUAUUAGGAGGAACACCAGUGGCGAAAGCGGCUUACUGGACUGUAACUGACGUUGAGGCUCGAAAGCGUGGGGAGCAAACAGGAUUAGAUACCCGGGUAGUC